GAACGAGUUGGAAAGCUCAGCCAGAGACUGUGAUAGCCAGGUAUGCGAAAACGACGCUGACCUUAUUCUGUAUUCUCGAGUAGGUCGGGGCACGAGAAACCCUGAUUGAAUCCGGCUGGACCACCAGCCAAGGCUAAAUAUAGUAUAUGAUCGAUAGUGAACUAGUACGGUGACGGAAAGGUGAAAAGAACCCCGGGAGGGGAGUGAAAUAGAACCUGAAAUUUUGUGCCUACAAGGAGUCGGAGCCCAGCACCUUUGAAAUCGAGUGGUACAAUGUAGACAGAUGUUCUACGUGUACGUUUUGCAAAGUGAUCGGGAAUCAGAUCAAAUUUACUUCGGUCAGACCAGUGACUUAAGACGACGUCUCUCGGAGCAUAAUUCCGGUAAGGAUACUUAUACUAGGAUAUAUGCGCCAUGGAAGGUUGUCUAUUAUGAAGCCUAUUCAUCACGUAAGCUGGCAUUAGCCCGUGAGAGACAGUUGAAAGCUUAUGGACAAGCCAGGACUGCCCUGAAGAAGAGACUAAAUUUGAUCUGAUACUCGAUUUCAAAGGUGCUGGGUGACGGCGUGCUUUUUGUAGAACGAUCCAGCGAGUUAAUUUUUACGGCGAGGUUAAGUCAGAUGAUGAAGCCAUAGUGAAAGCGAGCAUUAACAGUGCGAUUUAGUCGUAAGGAUUAGACCCGAAACCAGGUGACCUAACCAUGAGCAGGUUGAAGCAACCUUAAUCGGUUGUGGAGGACCGAACCAGUGUAUAUUGCAAAAUGCUUGGAUGACUUGUGGUUAGCGGUGAAAUGCCAAUCGAACUUGGAGAUAGCUGGUUCUCCGCGAAAUAGUUAUGGGACUAGCGUCGUGUGAUAGCUUACGGGGGUAGAGCUCUGUCAAGAGAUAGGGGGAGCAAUCCUACCUACUCUUAAUAAACUACGAAUACCGUAUGUCUGUAUCACGGCAGUUAGAACGUCGGUGCUAAGAUCGGCGCUCAAAAGGGAAACAGCCCAGACCAUCAUCUAAGGUCCCCAAAUUUACGCUAAGUGGGAAACAAGGUGGAAUUUCUUAAACAGCUAGGAUGUUGGCUUAGAAGCAGCCAUUCAUUUAAAGAGUGCGUAACAGCUCACUAGUCAAGAGAUUCUGCGUGGAAGAUAUAACGGGGCUAAGCGUAAUACCGAAGAUAUGGAUUGCAAUUUAUUGCAGUGGUAGCGGAGCGUUCCUAUCGGCAGUGAAGCCGGACUGUUAAGUACCGGUGGAGCGUUAGGAAGUGAGAAUGCUGGAACGAGUAACCAUAAGACAGGUGAGAAUCCUGUCGGCCGAAAGAGCGAGGUUUCCUGGGCUAUGGUAAUCAUCCCAGGGUUAGUCGGGCCUAAGCCGAGGCGUUUAGCGUAGGCGAUGGACAUCAGGUUAAUAUUCCUGAACUAGUCAAACUUUGUAUGCAGUUAGCGAUGAGAUAGGUGGAGCGGAUUCAUGGUUUAUCCGUUCAAGUGAUAGAGGAAUCUUGAUCGAGUAAAAGUGAACCUACGGGUUUACGAUUCCGCUGAAGGCAUUGACCAGAAAAGCUGGCAUACGCAUGGGUUUGGCUACCCGUACCGCAAACCGACACAGGUGCUCGAGUCGAGGAGACUAAGGCUUACGAGAGAAUGAUUGCUAAGGAACUCGGCAAUACAGCGACCGUAACUUCGGAAUAAGGUCUGCCUACAUUUGUAGGCCGCAGCUAAAGAGCCCACGGAACUGUUUAUCAAAAACUCAGGUCUCUGCUAACACGAAAGUGGAUGUAUAGGGGCUGAAACCUGCCCGGUGCCGGAAGGUUAAGGGGAUUGCUUCACGGUGAGAACUGAAGCCCCGGUGAACGGCGGCGGUAACUAUAACCGUCCUAAGGUAGCGAAAUUCCUUGUCAGGUAAGUUC
rnacentral:rRNA from 1 species